GACGAACCGUGCGAACGUUGUUCGGAUUCACUGGGCUUAAAGGGCGCGUAGGCGGGCUCGCCAGUCUGUGGUGAAAGCCCCCGGCUUAACCGGGGAAGUGCCGUGGAUACUGCGAGUCUUGAGGAGGGUAGGGGCAUCUGGAACGCUGGGUGGAGCGGUGAAAUGCGUUGAUAUCCAGCGGAACUCCGGUGGCGAAGGCGACUUCCUGGCCUGUUCUUGACGCUGAGGCGCGAAAGCUAGGGGAGCAAACGGG
rnacentral:rRNA from 1 species